rnacentral:snoRNA from 1 species
CCCAGCUAUAGGCAGUUUCCUAGGUUGCCUUGUACCUAGGCAAGUGCUCCACUGCUGGGAGAAAAGCAGCGAAUAACUCGCAAGCAUU